CCUUAUUGCGGGAUGGUUGCUCUCUGGUCGUACUUGAGCCCCCUGGACCAUGUCUGCAAAUGCUUCUGAACAUUGACAGAAUUUCUAAAGGAUCGCUGAGGACUCCCCCUCCAUGCGUGACAUCUUUGAGAAAUUUCCACGCUUUCUGGAGAUGCCAAGUUUGACUGGAACCAACUUUGCAUCCCUCGGCACUGACACUGAGAAGGUUUCAAGGACCCCACUACUAGGAGGCGAGAGUUUGACACGGCAUUGUCAUCACUGCCAUGGAUGACAACGUAACCAUUCCUGUUGCUGAUUGCCUGACUUGCGCAGUGACAAGCUUUUCAUGCUCUACUGGGUGUGUAACUUGGCAUAUCCACCACAGUUUAACUCUGUUUUUGCCUCUUUUGAAUAUGUGUACGAUAUAACCAUCUCAACCAACACGUGGGCCAAGGUACUGGAACAUUUCUCACUUCAAGUUGCUCUGUAGUCACUGGACAUUUUUUUUAAACAUCUACGCAGUCACCACCACUCCACACCAUGUGCAUUUUAAUUACUUCUGAUUCCACUGACAUGCAGACUACAUCCUAUGCAAUUUCAGGUAAUUUACCUGGUACUGGAGAAACAGCAUUGUAUGCCAUUCUAAGUGAUACUUGCCUCGUUGUUUUGCAAAAAUGUACUGUUCUUUGAAUAUAACUUAAAGUAAGAUCAUGUUGACUCUGAGGUUUUCUCCGGUUGUCAAGCACAACCUUAACGUUUUGUAAGUAAGUAAUAGUCACAGGAUAUGCAUGCAUUUGUAAUUUGAGCACAACCUUAACGUUUUGUAAGUAAGUAAUAGUCACAGGAUAUGCAUGCAUUUGUAAUUUGAAUUUUCGUUGAAAACGGCUCACCAAGCAUAAAAUGUUACCUCUGCUUUUGAUUUUUCUUUUUUUUUAAAUGUCCCUUAAUACCAGCCUGUCUUUUUGUUGUGUCCACACAACUUUACCAUCAUCAGUGUUGGGAAGGAACAGAUUGCUGUAAGUUACUGUAUCCCCAUCCUUUCAGAUCAGUGCUUUAAAGCCUUUUGAAAUUAAAUUGUUAAUAAACUUUGUGAAAACAAACUCAAA